UUACGGCCAUAUUACGUCGAAAUAUCGGUUCCCGUACGAUCACCGAAGUUAAGCAACAUCGAGCCAGGUCAGUACCUAGAUAGAUGACUGCUUGGGAAUACCAGGUGCUGUAA